CGGCAGGCCUAACACAUGCAAGUCGAGGGGUAGAGGGUGCUUGCACCCUUGAGACCGGCGCACGGGUGCGUAACGCGUAUGCAACCUACCUAUUGCAGGGGAAUAGCCCAGGGAAACUUGGAUUAAUGCCCCAUAGUCCAUAUUGAGAGCAUUUGAGAUAUGGUAAAGAUUUAUCGGCAAUAGAUGGGCAUGCGUCCCAUUAGCUAGUUGGUAUGGUAACGGCAUACCAAGGCUACGAUGGGUAGGGGCCCUGAGAGGGGGAUCCCCCACACUGGUACUGAGACACGGACCAGACUCCUACGGGAGGCAGCAGUGAGGAAUAUUGGACAAUGGGCGGGAGCCUGAUCCAGCCAUGCCGCGUGCAGGAAGACUGCCCUAUGGGUUGUAAACUGCUUUUUUACGGGAAGAAACACCCCCACGUGUGGGGGCUUGACGGUACCGUACGAAUAAGGACCGGCUAACUCCGUGCCAGCAGCCGCGGUAAUACGGAGGGUCCGAGCGUUAUCCGGAAUCAUUGGGUUUAAAGGGUCCGUAGGCGGGCGUCUAAGUCAGUGGUGAAAUCUCGCGGCUCAACCGUGAAAUUGCCAUUGAUACUGGUCGCCUUGAAUUAGUGUGAAGUGGCUAGAAUAUGUAGUGUAGCGGUGAAAUGCUUAGAUAUUACAUAGAAUACCGAUUGCGAAGGCAGGUCACUAACACUAUAUUGACGCUGAUGGACGAAAGCGUGGGGAGCGAACAGGAUUAGAUACCCUGGUAGUCCACGCCGUAAACGAUGGAUACUAGCUGUCCGGCCUGCAUUGGUAGGCUGGGUGGCCAAGCGAAAGUGAUAAGUAUCCCACCUGGGGAGUACGUUCGCAAGAAUGAAACUCAAAGGAAUUGACGGGGGCCCGCACAAGCGGUGGAGCAUGUGGUUUAAUUCGAUGAUACGCGAGGAACCUUACCAGGGCUUAAAUGUAGUCUGACAGGGGUGGAAACACCCCCUUCUUCGGACAGACUGCAAGGUGCUGCAUGGUUGUCGUCAGCUCGUGCCGUGAGGUGUCAGGUUAAGUCCUAUAACGAGCGCAACCCCUGUCGUUAGUUGCCAGCAUGUAAAGAUGGGAACUCUAACGAGACUGCCGGUGCAAACCGUGAGGAAGGUGGGGAUGACGUCAAAUCAUCACGGCCCUUACGUCCUGGGCCACACACGUGCUACAAUGGCAGGUACAAUGGGCAGCCACGCCGCAAGGCGGAGCGAAUCCACAAAACCUGUCUCAGUUCGGAUCGGGGUCUGCAACUCGACCCCGUGAAGCUGGAAUCGCUAGUAAUCGGAUAUCAGCCAUGAUCCGGUGAAUACGUUCCCGGGCCUUGUACACACCGCCCGUCAAGCCAUGGAAGCUGGAAGCACCUGAAGUCCGUCACCGCGAGGAGCGGCCUAGGGGAAG
rnacentral:rRNA from 1 species